rnacentral:rRNA from 1 species
UACGUAGGAUGCAAGCGUUGUCCGGAAUUAUUGGGCGUAAAGAGCGCGCAGGCGGUAUGACAAGUCAGAUGUGAAAGAGGCCGGCUUAACCGGCAAGGGUCAUUUGAAACUGUCAGACUAGAGUGCAGCAGAGGAUAGUGGAAUUCCCGGUGUAGAGGUGAAAUUCGUAGAUAUCGGGAGGAACACCGGUGGCGAAGGCGGCGAUCUGGGUCGAUACUGACGCUGAGGUGCGAAAGCGUGGGGAGCAAACAGG